AUAAGCCCAUAAAGAGAACCUAUUUAAAAGUGAUACUUGUUGCGGUUUGCACCGACAAAUUUAAGCUGUGCUUAGCUUAAGCGUGGCUUAAAAUCCAUGGCAACCAUUGUCUCAAUAAUCGUUGUCAUGGAUUUUAAGCUACGCUUAAGCUAAGCUCAUCUUAAAUUUGUUGGUGCAAACGGCCAUAUGCAUAAUUGCAUAGGGCAAUAGGGGUCAAUAUCUUCGACAGUAAAACGACAAAGUCCUGCAAAUCGGAUUUUCCGCUAUUAGUGAUGUGAUGGGUUAACUCGAGUGAAAAACUACUUGAGAAUGCAGUGGCGUAACAAUGCGGCCACAGGCCCGUGUUCUAAAAUCAAACCAGGUCGCAAUAAAUUAGAUAAAUAUUAGUGUCUGACCGAAUGUUCGGCUUCGGCGGAAAUUCGGCUUCGCCCCAAAAAGUGGCCGAAGGCCGAAGCCGAAACUUGAGUACUGAGGAUUGAUUAUUAUCGAUGCAUUGUGUUUGGUAUCUCAAUAAAAACAUUUAGAACAAAAUUUUCUCCACACCCAAUUUCUAAGUUGGUCGGAAAAACUAGUUCUCUGCAAUUAUUAAUAAGCUCAGUUUUUCUUCCAUUCACUUUCGGCCUUUGGAUUCGGUUUCGGCCAAUUCACCUUCGGUCGGACACUAAAAAUACUUAAAAAUAAAAUUUUUGGAAUUUACUACUUUAAAGAUUGCCGAUUAACAAACAGAGAUUAGAUAAACAAAAAUUAAUCAUUUUUUACAAAAUAUAUGAAAUCUUUAAAACUACAAAAUAUGUAAUUUAUAAAAAAUGCUGCAUUAAAGAAACAUUUUUUAUGUUUUAACAAUUUUGUUCUUGACUGCAAUCAUUAAUAGACAAAAAUUUUUCUAAGGCCAGAAUCUUCCUGCUAAAGCUAUUAAAGCUGGAAUAAUUAAAAUGAUAUAACACGCAGUUAUAAAUUAAAAAAAACAAAAAAAAGUAUCAAAAUUCCGAAUAUUUGGCGUAUAAAUCUGACUUUGCUGGAAAAACACUUCGUCAUAAAGCAAUAAGAUAUAAAACUCAAAAAAACUUUUCUUUUUGUUAGUAGCUUUGAAACAUAUGUAGUUAUCGACCCUUUGAGUAGGUUGAGAAGUAUAUUUUUAUCUCGAUUUUUAUAAACCAAAUAUAUAAUGAAAAUAACAUCUGACAAAUUUAAACGUUAAAUAACUCAUUUUAUUUAUUUAAAAAUAACGCAACACAAGUGGUGCAAAUUUAAAUAAAAAGCAGUGUUGAUUGUUGAAUCUGUUGAGGUUUCAAAUAAAUUUGUAGUUAACGUAUUAUUUGUGGAUUUGUUUUUUUACAUAAGAAAAUAAAGCGAUUCGAAUUAUUACUAACUAUGAAUAAUAAUUUUAAAUAAAUUUUAUAUAGCUAGUGUACUACUAGUAAAAAAAUCUACGGUUGUGAACACAAUUACCGACCCUAUUAAAAUUAUAAUUCUUGACUCUUUGUGUUUCGGGUAAUAAACAACGAUCAGUCAAUAAUGAGUUUCUUCACAACCUUAUAGCGCGUAUAAUGUACUAUUAAUUUGGAACUCCUUUUUAACUGUCUGUAAGGAUGUCUAGUGUGUUAAAAAACACAUUUAUUAGCACCGUUUUUAAUGGGUUGUAUUUAAAAAUAAUUUUAUCAAAAAAUCUUUUUGGUCUUGGUGUUCAUUGCUUUAUGAGAGCUGUGCUUGUUCCUUAUUUUGGAGCUAAACGUCCCGCUUUAUUUUUAUCCGUAUUUUUUAAUACUUUCUAAGACGUAUUAUCAUGUUAUUGUUAGUUAAAUAUUUUUCUGUGUUUUUUUUGUAAGAGCAUAGAGCCUUCAAUAUUUUUAUAACUUUGUUUGCAAAACACUGUAUCAAAUAUGACUAAUUGACUUUUAUAAACAUUUUAUUAUUUUAUAUUAUUAAAUAUUAAUAUGACUUUUGCAGAAGUUUUAACGUUACAAUAUACUUUAUACUAAAAUUUAUCUAAGCAAGACGGGCAGGCAGGUUUACAUACCACCAGGGAAUUUUUGGAAAAGUACCCCUUGAAAUCACAUUUUAAAGCAUCGCCUAAGAAACAUGAGGCAAAAAUUCAAAGAUUUCUUGGGAAUUAUUUUAAGAUUACUUUUAUCUUUUGAUGAUUUUGUACUACCGCUAUCCUCCAAAGAUACACCAUGUUACACUUCAUAAAAAAUGUCAGGUUUUUUAUUUUUAUUGCUAAACUAAACCAUUUUGGUACACGUCACUAAUGGUAAUGGAUUAGUAAGAGUUAAAACAAAAAAUAUUACGUUUGGUACAUAACUUGUGUAGGUAUCCUUUUAACUUUUGGACUAAGCGGUAUUCCAAAAAUCCAUACACCUUAACCUUAGCCUAAUGACUAAGCUGCUUUUAUUUUAUUAAGCAAUUGGUACACAAUUACUAUAUUUAGGAAUACUUAUUACUGUUUUAGACAUGUCAAGAUCAAGGAAAAGUAUGCACUUAAAAAGAUUAUUAAUAAAAGAAAAAGAAAAUUAUGUUACGCCCAACAAAAAAGUUAAAUCGAAUUGCUCAACUGACCAUCCUAAAACUGAAAUUUUCGCAUCGCCUCCUGGUCUUGCUAAUAUUCACAAUUUAAGUACCUUUGAGCAGUUAGGCGAUGGUAUUACUGACGAAAGUCCUAAUGAACACCAUUUGGAAAGUAUUGUACCUGCUGAAGGAGUGUACUAUUCAGAGCACAGCAAUGACGUUGAGAACUCAAAUAUCAAUGAAUGUAGUGCAUAUGCAUCGACUCUCAUUGAAGAAGACAAUCUCUUGCACAAUCUUCAAAUAUGGGCUUUAAAUGAAAAGGUGAAUCACAACCAAUUAAAUAGUUUAUUACGUAUUUUGAAGCCUCAUCAUCCGAACUUACCGCUAUGCAGCAAAACUCUUUUGGGCACACCACGAAAACUUGUAUAUAGAAAUAUGGCUUCCGCAAACAAAAGUAAUGGAUUAUUUUUUUACUUUGGCAUAAAAAAUCGUUUAAUCGAAGAACUUAAUAACGGUCUUGACAAUAUAAUCGUUAAAAAAAAUGACAAAAAUAUUUUAGAACUCAUUUGCAAUGUAGAUGGGCUACCUAUAUAUAAAAGCAGCUCUCUACAAUUUUGGCCCAUUUUAGGGCUACUUUAUUUUAAAGGAUUCAACCCAAAACCAUUUGUAAUAGCCCUAUACAAAGGAGAUAGUAAACCUAAUGAUAUGGAAGAAUACCUUCAUAAAUUUAUUGUUGAAUUAAAUGAUCUUUCAACAAGUGGAUUUGAACAUAAUAACAAAACCUAUUAUGUAAAACUGAAAGCCUUAGUAUGUGAUGCUCCUGCGAGAGCAGCUUUGAAGUAUAUAAAAAAUCACAAUGGCUAUUUUUCUUGCGAACGAUGCAAUGUCAAAGGUGAAAGGUUGGAAGGAAAGAUCGUUUAUCGCUAUAAUGAAGUUGGUUGUUCUCUUCCACGAACAGAUUCAAAUUUUGUAGAACAAUUGCAUAAAAAUCAUCAUUUGGGUGUGUCUCCUCUUCUAAAAAUAAACAAUUUUGGACUUGUAUCGGGAAUUCCUUUAGACUAUAUGCAUAUGGCAUGCCUUGGAACCAUGCGUCGGCUACUAAAUCACUGGUUUAAAGGAAAUAUGUUAUUUAGAAUUGCUCCAUCUAUGCGAAAGGAAGCUUCACGAAGAAUGCUAAUUGUUAGAGACCAAAUGAGUGUAGAGUUUAAUCGGAAACCUCGGAUAAUUGAGGAACUGGACAGAUGGAAAGCGACAGAGUUUCGUACAUUCCUUUUAUACAUCGGACCAUUCAUUCUUCACGAUCUUUUACCUCCUGCUAUGUACAAACACUUUUUACUUUUGUUUAGUGCAAUGAGAAUAUGUUGUAGAGGAGAUUUUAGAAACGAUUUGGGUGCUAUAGCUAAAAAGUGUAUUAGAAAAUGCUGUGGAGAUUUUGAAAAAGUUUACACACCAGAGGAGCCAGUUUAUAAUACUCAUUCCCUUUUACAUUUAGUUGAAGACAGUGUUAAUAAUAAUGAAAGUUUAGACAAAAUUAAUUGCUUUGUUUUUGAGAACUACUUGGGUAAAAUUAAGAAAAUGUUACGUACACCGAACAAACCAUUAGCUCAAGCAUGUAUGAGACUGGCAGAAGAGAGAAACAAAGGAUUUAAAUACAAUACCGUUAAACAAGGUGUUACCAUAAUUAAAAGAACAUGCAAUAAAAUUAUUCAGAUAAGUGUUGAGGACAAAUAUAAGUUAAAUGUUGCGAAAGAUUGUGAUUCUCAUGUGAUCUUAAAAAAUGGGAAAGUAAUGAAAGUUAGGGUAAUUUUACAAACAAAAGAUAUGCCUAUUCAAUUGAAGGGUCCCAUAUUUCAAUCUUGCUGGGAUGUUUUUGACAGUCCUAUUAAGUCAUCCAAGCUAAACGUUUUUAAAGUAAAGGACUUAUCCACUUUUGAGUUUGUGGUAGGAGUGGAUGAUGUGUCUACAAAAUGUAUAAUAUUACAUUUAGAAAAGGCAUUAUUUCCUGCAUAUGCGAUUGGGUUAUUACAUCAUUGUUAAAGGGUGAGUGGAGAAGUACGUAUAGAUCCCAGGUUAAGUUUUUUCUGAAAGCGUUGUCCAUUUACCGCACCAACACAAAGCAAUUUUCUUGUGUUUCUAUUUGUUGGAACAUUCAAAAUUUGACCAUUCAUAUUUCCAAAAAAUUGCUCUGCGAUAAUGUAGUGCGUAAAUUAUGGAAAAUGCUAUUUUUGUUGUAUUCAAAAAGUGAUAUUUUCUAAUGAUCAAAGUUUUCUAUUCAAACAUCUAGAUAUACAAGUGUCAUUAAAUUGCCUUUGUAUAUUUAUUUAUAUUUACAUGUGUUGCACAGAAGUAAAUAUUUGUAUACUUACCAGUUGUUAUUACAUUUUUAGGGUACAAAUUUUUACUAAAGAUCAACCAGAAAGGAUGGGAACAUGGGAUAUUGUAAUAUGGGAGAAGGAGAACGCUGUGGGGUAUGUCCCAUCAUCAUGGGCUGUUGAUGAGACAAACACCACAUACCUAUGGCCAAAGGUACCACGUCAAAAACUACAAAAAUUAAUUGAUAACUGCGAUGACCCAGAUGCUAACAUAAAUUAUAUGGAAUGUAACGCCACUUACAAAGGAACCGUUACAAACCUAGCGAUGGCAAAAAGAAAAACCAACAUGCUAAUGUACACAUCUAAUGUUGAUGAUACCGAAUCGGAAAGUAGUAAUGAAAAAGUACGAAGUGCACAUGUUACCAGUCAAUUGAUGAAAAAUGUAUACGUGGUAGAAAAAGAACCACUCGAUAAUCGGUAUGGUUCUGAGAAGUCUGUAGAAUCAGUGUCACCUUCGCCUUCUUUCCAGGUUGAAGCAAUUCCACUAGAUGGGGGUGCUAAUGAAAGUUCUACCACAGUUCAUACAAUUUUAAAAGCGGUUGCUGCUAUAAAGUUUGACAUAACCGAAAUUAAUAAGAAAAUCGGCAACAUUUUAGCUGAAGUAAAAAAUAUUCAUGUAACCCAUAACAUUCCAAGUUUACAAUUAGAUAAAUUCAAAGUUCCCAUUGAGUCAGUUCAUGAGCUAGAAGAUUUAAAUGGAAAACUAAAUGAUGCAGGCUUGUUCAACGAAUUGGCAAAAAUAUUAUCAUUGGUGGGAGGACUUACUCUAAGAAAAAAUGUUCACAGCAUUAUUAAACGUUUACUGGAAAAAAACCUUGCUGUACUAUAUUCUGCCAAAGGCAAGAAGGGAAAGAAGAAUUUGUCAACAUUAAUAAAAAUUUUAGAAGCUAUUUAUGUGGCAGUAAGGGUAAAUUACCCAAAUGCAACAGAGCAAGAGAUCCUAAGCAAUAUUAGUUCUGCUCUGGCAGGUGCAGCAGAUUGGGAAGGUGGAAGAAAAAGUAGAGCACCAGAAGAUAAGUCGGAGAAGUCAUAGAAAAUAGAAGUUAUCUACAAAAGUCUCAAGAAAAGAGCAGCAUUU